rnacentral:pre_miRNA from 1 species
AAUUUCAACUAAAAAAGUCAUCAACAACAAAGUUGUAUAACUCAUCAAGAUCUAUAACUUUUUUUUUAUUUCUUCAUCCGACAAAGUAUUAGUAACAUUGUUCACAAAAUUGACAUAUCUAUGUCAUAGUUUAUAAAACCAGAUGAGAUAUAUGUGAAUUUUGUGAACAAUGUUACUAUCACUUUGUCGGAUGAAGAAAUGACCAAAAUGAAAGUUAUAGAUCUUGAUGAGUUAUACAACUUUGUUGUUGAUGACUUUUUCAGUUGAAAUC